UGCUCAUCGAGAUGGGCUGAGGGACUGGCCCGAUGACGCCCGGCAACCCCCGCCAGGGAAGGUGCCAAAUCCAGCGGCAAUGGAUAUCAUUGGCCGAAAGAUGAGAG
rfam:Chloroflexus aurantiacus J-10-fl, complete genome.